CUACCCCAAAGUUAAUUAGUCUAAAUUCAUGACCCAGAUCCUUUCAGGCCCAAAAAUAUUGAGCCCAUACCCUUUUCCCAUUUGAAACCUAAUUCCUACCCCUAUAUUAUAAUGUUAAUUCCUAAAAUAAAGGGCUAGAGAGAAAAAAUCCACCAGAAGCGGAAACCUCACCCACAGACACGAACGUCGCAUCAGAAAUGGCCUUUUAGAGUGGGUUUUUUCCUGAAAUUUCAGAACCAAUAAUUGAUUUGAUCAUCUUAAAUCUCUGAUUCCACAAACUCAAGAGGCAGAACCCUUUCCUCAACCUUCGUUUCCAUUUCCAUUGAUUCUGUGCAAAUAAUAACAAGUACUAUAGCUAGAAAAGAGGUGCAGAAAAUCUCGAGAUUUUGGCUACAAAAGCUGAUAAUGAAAUCUUGCUACCAUGAAUUGUUGUUGUUGUUGUUGUCACGCUGAGCUUCAUCUUCACUCUUUUAUCCAUUAUUCGGCAUUUUAAGCAAUUCGUGAUUUCUAGGUGCGUUUCUUUCGUUUUAUAUUUAAAUCUUUGAAAAGCAAUGAAGCUUCAAGCCCACUGUUAUGCUUUUGUUUGGUUUAGUCUUCGAUCUUAUUAACUGGCCAUAGACUGAAUUACUUGAAAUAUUUGAAUAGAUUUCCUGUAAUGGAUCGGAUGUGGUUGCUUUAUUGAAUGCCUAUGUUUGUAUCAUUUAUUUUCUUCAAAAACCGGUAGUAUGCAAUUUUAAGCUUGGCUUCAAGAAACAUGAGCUGCAAAUCGGCUCUAUAAAAUUUAUUUUCUGUGAGUUGUCUAUGUGAAUCACUAAGUGGGUUAUUUUAAUUAGUUAAGGCUUGGUGAUACAGCUUUGUGAUUCGAUAAUAGCAAUAUUUUGUUUGUUGUAAAUCGUGAAUCAGUGGAGGAAGUUAAAUAUUCAAGGCCAUCAUCAUUUAUUUAUUUAUUUUCUUUCUUUAGCAAUUGGACUCCAUAAAUGAAGUCUUUGGCUAAUUCUGAGAAUGACCGUGUGUAUACAUGUUAUACAAUUCAUAUGUGAUUGUAUGAUUGUUGAUUUCUAUUUGUUGAAAUUGGUUAUUAGUUAAUUCUUUUUCUUAGAAUAAUAAUUAUACAUAGAUAGGCUCAGAUUUGAGAACGUUUCCUACAUGCUACCAUGCCAAAUAAAAUCUCAAAUGUAUGGCCCUCAUUUAAUUAAUUUUAAUUCUUAGAAAUCGAGGCAUGCCAUUUAGUUAAAUUUUCCAUGGCCCUCGCAAAUUUGAAAGCGCGUAGUUGUUGUAGGCGCAUUCUUUUAAUAAUUUACUUUCUUAAACUCGCGUGCGCAUUUAUAUGACCCAAAUCCAAAUCUCAAUGAUGUUAAAGUAUGUCAAAGACCAUGGGUGCAUUUAUGUGACGUGGUUCAAGACGUGUUUUAAUAACGUUGCAAUCUUCCUAAAAAUGAAUAAAAGUGGUUAAGGUUGAAAAUGCACAUAGGUUUGAACAUGUACUAAAAUCAGGUAAUUAAGCCGAAUAUAAUAGUUGAGCGACCGUGCUAGAACCACGGAACUCGGGAGUGCCUAACACCUUCUCCCGAGUUAACAGAAUUCCUUACCCGGAUUUCUGUGUUCGCGGACUGUUAAACAGAGUCAAUCAUUUCCUCGAUUCAAGAUUCUAAACCGGUGACUUGGGACACCAUAAAUCUCCCAAGUGCCGACUCUGAAUCUUUUAAUAAAUAAUUCCAUUUCGAUUGUCACUUUAAGUUGGAAAAAACUCCUUUACACAUCCUUCCAGGGUGUAGGUAAAAAGGAAGGUGUGACAGCUCUAGCGACUCUGCUGGGGACCGAAACCAGAAUCUCUGGUUCAGGGUUCAAGAAUUCGAGCUUAAAAUGAAUUGUUAUAUUUGGCUUUAUUUGAUUCUGUUACAUGUUUGGGCCUAAUGUGCUAAGUGAUGCUUUUUGCCGCUUUGAUAUUAUCUGAACUGUAUAUAAACUGCUACGAAAACCCUUCUUUUCUCAUCUUCGGGGAUGUGCUCGUUGGUCAGACUCCCUAUUCUGUUAGUGUCAUACNNNNNNNNNNNNNNNNNNNNNNNNNNNNNNNNNNNNNNNNNNNNNNNNNNNNNNNNNNNNNNNNNNNNNNNNNNNNNNNNNNNNNNNNNNNNNNNNNNNNNNNNNNNNNNNNNNNNNNNNNNNNNNNNNNNNNNNNCUAGAAUAACUCAGCCUCAUGCCGGAUCCCUAGUAGACACGUUUGUUUGCAUCAUGUGCAUUUGACUUUGGGGACUCAACACAGGGACAGUAAGCACAGAGAGAGAUUCACAUGAUUAGGCAUAAUAAUCACAAUUUAAACUUGACUUGAAAUCUAGGCAAUUUAGCAUAUAGUUCACAUUCUUCACACAUCCCCAAUUUACCAAGAAUAGCACAUUGAACACAUUGAGACACACCUUUCAUAUAUAUUCUUGCAACACCAAAUCCUUUGAAAUAACAAAUACUACAUAAAUCAGAUUCCGGACUUACAACAUAUGCGGGGACAUCAUGGGAGCUCAAUUUCUAAGAAGAAGGGGGUUUUAGCCAUACAUACCUCAAAGAGCUUUUCCUUAAGUUUCUACAAUCCACCAACACCUCUAGCAAUAACAAUCUAUAAAGAGAUAGCGGGAAUCGAUUAAUAAUUAGGAAGAUUACCCAUGGUAUAACUCUCCUAGGAAUUUCAUCAAACACCUAACAUGUGAAGUAGUCUACAAGGUCUGAAAAUAGAAAUUCCUUCCUCCCUCAACCAAUUUUAAUAGGAACUACUCAAAUUAGUUCUUUAAUAUCACAUACUACAACUUUGUCCCACAUGCAUGGCCUAUUUCUAAUCCCCACUGUCACAAUUCCUUUUCAUACCCCCGAAAGGGGUAUAAGGGAGUUUUUUCCAAUUUAAGUGACAAUCGAAACAGGAUUAUAUAUAUAUAUAUUAGAUUCAGAGUCGCCACUUGGGAUAAUUUAUGGUGUCCCAAGUCACCGAUUUAAAUCCCGAAUCGAGGAAAGAUUGCCUCUGUUUUACAGUCCGCGAAACACAGAAAUUCGGGUAAGAAAUUUUGUUAACCCGGGAGAAGGUGCUAGGCAUUCCCGAGUUCCGUGGUUUUAGCACGGUCGCUCAAUUGUUAUUAUUGGCCUAUUAUCUGAUUUUAAUACACUAUUAAACCUAUGUGCAUUUUUACUUUAAAACUACUUUUAUUUAUUAUUUUUUAGGAAAAUUCAACGUUAUUUAAAACAUACCUUGAACCACACCACAUGAAAUGCACCCGUGGCCCAGGACACAUUUUAUUUAACGUUGUUGAGAAUUGGAGUUGGGUCACAUGAAAUGCACACCCGAGUUUAGGAAAGUAAUUUUUAUACUAGCGCGCCUAAAGCAACUACGCACUUUUAGAUUUGCGAGGGCCAUGGAAAGUUUGCUAAUGACACACCUCGAUUUCUAAAGAAUUCAAAUUAAUUGAGGGCCAUGAGUUUUGAGAUUUUAUUUGGCAUGACACGCCUCAAAUUAUUCUAUCAAAAGGAUUUCUAAAUUUAGUUUUGAGGGCUAUAAUUAUUGGUGUUAUUUAAUAUGGCACACCUCAACUAGCAAUUCUUUACAAUCUCGGAACAAAUUUCCACUAGUGAUCAAUUCCUUUCACUUGGAGUAACUGCAAAGCAAAGCUACCAAACGAACCUUCCCAACUCGACAAGAAUUUUGGACGCUCAUUUAAAGUAAAACCUCCUUUACAAACACUCAUGAGUAAUUAAAAUCAACUCAAGACCUGUUAGUGGUGUGCAAAAGAAUAUUGCUAAAAGAUUCUGGCACUUAGUCUUCGUAAUCUUCAGCAUGUUCUAAUAAAUAAUUUGCAGCUAGUUCUUCAUUGCGAUCACAAGCUAAAAAGGCCUCAAUGACAAGAGCUCGAUCAAAACCCAUGUAGAAUAGAACGUAGUUUAACUAGACAACCAACUACGGAUCUCGACAACUUAAUAUCAAAAGAAAGAAUUCAUUUAUGUUAUUAUCUUAUACCAAACACCGAACAAUCACAAAAAAUUCAAAUCUUCCACAAAUCAAAUCGAUUCAAACACUAGAUAAUCACAAAUAAAUAUCAUAAUCUUGACAAAUUAAACUCAUCAGAAACAAAAUGCUACUACUGCUCCUAGUACCUCAGACAAGCACCAGGAUUUGCUUUAAGCGACAGUUGUAGGAGAUUUCACGCUAAGUAAUUGAAACAACAAAAUAUUUAUGGACUCUGGUUGUUGAGAUUAUGAUCAGAUUUGUGGAAAACUGAUUAUAAAUAGUGAAUUCAUGAAGAUAUAAUUUCAAGCUUUCUGUUGAGGCAUUCCAUCGAACAAACAGAAACUAUAUACACAACAAUGAAACAAUAUACAAACAUAUCCAACAAGAUAAGAGGAUAUGACCUUUAUUUGAGCUUGUCCACUUUCAAGUCUUACAACAAAGUUGUUUACAGCAACAUGGCAUCGGCGUAAUAGCAAAAUUGAGAACCGGCACUUCGACUGGAACUCGACGACCCUGACCGGGAACCUCACCCAAACAGAAUCAACCUCGACCUCGACUGUGAAUUGAAAAAAAUACUCAACUAAACCAGAA
rnacentral:lncRNA from 1 species